GUUAUUUAUUUUAUUUUUAAGUUUUGUGAUUGACGUUUACACCAAAUUCAAACAAAUAAUGCGGAUAAGUGUAAAAUAAACCGAAAGUUGAUUUUAUAAUAAUCAUAAAGAAUCGGUAGAUAUGCUAAGGAUAAUUUAUCAUACGUAUAACGAAGAAGCAGCUCGAUGGACAGCUUUAAUAAUUUUUUUAACCACAACGUUUGUAUCGAUUACUUUUAGUUUCCUCUCUGGAGUGUUCCUAUUAAUUUGCUAUGUCAGUGGAUACAUAAUCUGUUGGGUUUUUCUUAAAAACCAAUCUAAUAUUUUCUCUUUUAUGAAACAGUUCAGCAGUCUUUAUAAAGCUGUUCCACAAGAAAAUAUAACUAUAAAAGCAUGUAGUGUGUGUAGCAAUGAUUCAUGUAAACGACACCAUCAUCGCUCAAAUCCCUUAACAAAUUUAUAUCCUUCUGCAGAAUUAAAUACAGCAAUAGAAGAAUUUUAUAACAAAAUACUAGAUGUUUAUGUUUUGUCAUGGUACAAAACAUUUUCCAAUGAUAUAUCAUUCCCAAAUGAAUUAAGAGUUUGUUUGAGGCAUACAACAGCCACCUUUUUAACAAAAUUGCUGGAAUUUGAUGUAACAAAAGUAUUAACUACCAAGCUUAUUCCUUGUGCCAUUAAGCAUGUAGAUGACUAUAUGAGUAUUGAGCAAAUUGCAAAAAUAAGGAAUUCCCAAAUUAAUGAGAUUGCAGUUGACUACUUUGGUAAAAAGUUGCAUAUAGCUGCCACUAAUAGACAAAACGAAUUAAAUUAUGUAAGAAGUUUAACUUCAUGGUUAUUACCACACCUAGUACAUGAAGAUUGUUUAAAUUGCAACCUUCUUUUCAUCCACUCCUAAAUGCGAAAGUACAUCAGACAACAGUUGUACAACAACUCUUCAACAUCCAUUUUUUUGUUUUAAAUUUGUGUCUAUAAACAUGUCUUUUGGUGCAGAAACUUAAUGGAAAAUGAAAAUGAGUUUUGUCAUUAUAAGAGAAGCCAACAACAUACAUAAAUCAUUUAGAAUGACAAUG